rnacentral:rRNA from 1 species
CAGUCGCCGCGGGAAUACGGAGGGAGCUAGCGUUGUUCGGAAUUACUGGGCGUAAAGCGCGCGUAGGCGGUUACUCAAGUCAGAGGUGAAAGCCCGGGGCUCAACCCCGGAACUGCCUUUGAAACUAGGUGACUAGAAUCUUGGAGAGGUCAGUGGAAUUCCGAGUGUAGAGGUGAAAUUCGUAGAUAUUCGGAAGAACACCAGUGGCGAAGGCGACUGACUGGACAAGUAUUGACGCUGAGGUGCGAAAGCGUGGGGAGCAAACGGGAUUAGAUACCCGUGUAGUCCCUGUCUCUUAUAU